rnacentral:sRNA from 1 species
AAGGAUCAUUACCGAGUGCGGGCUGCCUCCGGGCGCCCAACCUCCCACCCUUGAAUACCUAACUCUGUUGCUUCGGCGGGGCGCCUCCUCCGGGGGGCAAGCCGCCGGGGACCAUUGAACUUCAUGCCUGAGAGUGAUGAUUUCUGAGCCUGAAUUAUAAAUCAGUCAAAACUUUUAACAAUGGAUCUCUUGGUUCCGGCAUCGAUGAAGAACGCAGCGAACUGCGAUAAGUAAUGUGAAUUGCAGAAUUCAGUGAAUCAUCGAGUCUUUGAACGCACAUUGCGCCCCCUGGCAUUCCGGGGGGCAUGCCUGUCCGAGCGUCAUUGCUGCCCUUCAAGCCCGGCUUGUGUGUUGGGUCGUCGUCCCCCCCCCGGGGGACGGGCCCGAAAGGCAGCGGCGGCACCGUGUCCGGUCCUCGAGCGUAUGGGGCUUUGUCACCCGCUCGAUUAGGGCCGGCCGGGCGCUAGCCGGCGUCAUCAAUCUUUUUUUUACCAGGUUGACCUCGGAUCAGGUAGGGAUACCCGCUGAACUUAAGCAUAUCAAUAAGCGGAGGAAAAGAAACCAACCGGGAUUGCCUCAGUAACGGCGAGUGAAGCGGCAAGAGCUCAAAUUUGAAAUCUGGCCCCUCCGGGGUCCGAGUUGUAAUUUGCAGAGGAUGCUUCGGGUUCGGCCCCUGUCUAAGUGCCCUGGAACGGGCCGUCAGAGAGGGUGACAAUCCCGUCUUGGGCAGGGUGCCCGAGCCCGUGUGAAGCUCCUUCGACGAGUCGAGUUGUUUGGGAAUGCAGCUCUAAAUGGGUGGUAAAUUUCAUCUAAAGCUAAAUACCGGCCGGAGACCGAUAGCGCACAAGUAGAGUGAUCGAAAGAUGAAAAGCACUUUGAAAAGAGAGUUAAACAGCACGUGAAAUUGUUAAAAGGGAAGCGCUUGCGACCAGACUCGGCCCCGGGGUUCAGCCAGCACUCGUGCUGGUGUACUUCCCCGGGGGCGGGCCAGCGUCGGUUUGGGCGGCCGUUCAAAGGCCCCAGGAAUGUAGCGCCCUUCGGGGCGCCUUAUAGCCUGGGGUGCAAUGCGGCCAGCCCGGACCGAGGAACGCGCUUCGGCACGGACGCUGGCGUAAUGGUUGCAAACGACCCGUCUUGAAACACGGACCAAGGAGUCUAACAUCUACGCGAGUGUUCGGGUGUCAAACCCGUACGCGGAGUGAAAGCGAACGGAGGUGGGAGCCCCCCCGGGGCGCACCAUCGACCGAUCCUGAUGUCUUCGGAUGGAUUUGAGUAAGAGCGUAGCUGUGGGGACCCGAAAGAUGGUGAACUAUGCCUGAAUAGGGCGAAGCCAGAGGAAACUCUGGUGGAGGCUCGCAGCGGUUCUGACGUGCAAAUCGAUCGUCAAAUUUGGGUAUAGGGGCGAAAGACUAAUCGAACCAUCUGGUAGCUGGUUCCUGCCGAAGUUUCCCUCAGGAUAGCAGUAACGCGGAUCAGUUUUAUGAGGUAAAGCGAAUGAUUAGAGGCAUUGGGGUUGAAACAACCUUAACCUAUUCUCAAACUUUAAAUAUGUAAGAAGCCCUUGUUGCUUAGU